CCGGUGAAGCGGGGUGGAGGACCGAACCGAAGCCUGUUGAAAAAGUCUCGGAUGAGGUGUGGAUAGGAGUGAAAAGCUAAUCGAGUUGGGUGAUAGCUGGUUCUCCCCGAAAUGCAUUUGGGUGCAGCCCGGAAUGUUUAGUAGCGGGGGUAGAGCACUGAAUGGACGCGGGCGGUUGUAACCGUACCAAAUUCAAUCAAACUGCGAAUACCGCUACUUAAGAGUUCCGGAGUGAGACUGCGGGAGAGAAGUUUCGUGGUCGAGAGGGAAAGAGCCCAGAUCCACGGCUAAGGUCCCAAAGACAUGCUAAGUGUGGCAAGGAUGUGACGAUGCCCGGACAGCCAGGAGGUUGGCUCAGAAGCAGCCAUCCUUUAAAGAGUGCGUAAUAGCUCACUGGUCGAGGAUUGUUGCGCCGAAAAUACUGGGGGCUAAGCAUGACACCGAAGCCUGGAGAUUGACUUUAAGGAGUCGAAUCGGUAGGGGAGCGUUGUAUGUGGGGUGAAGUACGCCCGGGAGGGUGUGUGGACUGCAUACAAGAGAGAAUGCCGGCAUGAGUAACGCGAAGUGUGUGAGAAUCACACUCACCGGAAGUCCAAGGGUUCCUGGGGAAGGUUGAUCCGCCCAGGGUAAGGCGGGACCUAAGGUCAGGCCGAAAGGCGUAGCUGAUGGACAACAGGUUGCUAAUCCUGUCCCGCGAUGAGUUCGUUAAGACGAUGGAGUGACGCAGGAGGCUAGGUGCGCCGGGUGAUGGACCCCGGUCCAAGGGAGCGGCCUGACGAGGGAGGCAAAUCCCCCUUGUUAAAGGUUAGACCUGAUGGGGAGCGAGCCGCGAGGCGAGCGAAGGCAUUGAAGCCAGGCUGCCAGGAAAAGCUUCUAAGGAGAACUCAUAGCGCCCGUACCCGAAACCGACACAGGUGGACUGGCUGAGGAGGCUAAGGUGAGCGGGAGAACUAUCGUUAAGGAACUCUGCAAAUUGACCCCGUAACUUAGGGAGAAGGGGUGCCACCCAUGGUGCAAGCUGAGGGUGGUCGCAGAAACCAGGCACAGGCGACUGUUUACUAAAAACACAGGACUCUGCAUAAGGCGUAAGCCGAAGUAUAGGGUCUGACACCUGCCCGGUGCUGGAAGGUUAACUGGAGGGGUUAGUGCCGCGAGGUGCGAAGCUCUGAAAUGAAGCCCCAGUAAACGGCGGCCGUAACUAUAACGGUCCUAAGGUAGCGAAAUUCCUUGUCGGGUAAGUUCCGACCUGCACGAAAGGUGUAACGAUCUGUGCGCUGUCUCGACGGUAGGCCCGGUGAAAUUGUGGUCCUGGUAAAGACGCCAGGUACCCGUGGUGGGACGGAGAGACCCCAUGGAGCUUUACUGUAACUUAGUAUUGAAUUUUGUCCUACGAUGCACAGGAUAGGUGGGAGGCAUUGAGAGUGGGAUUUUGGUUCCAUUUGAGCCGCCGUUGGGAUACCACCCUUUGUAUGAUGAAAUUCUAACCCGGAGGCGUUGAAGCACGCGCGGGGACAUUGCUAGGCGGGCAGUUUGACUGGGGCGGUCGCCUCCCAAAGAGUAACGGAGGCGCGCAAAGGUCACCUCAGGGCGAAUGGAAACCGCCCUAUGAGAGCGUAAGCGUAUAAGGUGGCUUGACUGUGAGACGGACGUGUCGAACAGGAACGAAAGUUGGUGCUAGUGAUCCGGUGGUGCCGAAUGGAAGGGCCAUCGCUCAACGGAUAAAAGCUACCCUGGGGAUAACAGGCUGAUCCUACCCGAGAGU
rnacentral:rRNA from 1 species